rfam:Desulfovibrio sp. FW1012B chromosome, whole genome shotgun sequence.
AUGCGAAACCGCCCCAUGCGGGCGGUCGUCCGGGCGUGGCGGCCCGGGCCUGACGAGCAGCCAAAC